rnacentral:rRNA from 1 species
CCUACGGGUGGCAGCAGUGGGGAAUAUUGCGCAAUGGGCGAAAGCCUGACGCAGCGACGCCGCGUGAGGGAUGGAGGUCUUCGGAUCGUAAACCUCUGUCAGCAGGGAAGAACGGUCACUGUGCUAAUCAGCAGUGAAUUGACGGUACCUGCAAAGGACGCACCGGCUAACUCCGUGCCAGCAGCCGCGGUAAUACGGAGGGUGCGAGCGUUAAUCGGAAUUACUGGGCGUAAAGCGCUCGUAGGAGGUAUGUCAAGUCAAGGGUGAAAUCCCCGCGCUCAACGUGGGAACUGCCUUUGAAACUGGCAAACUGGAGUGUGUGAGAGGAUAGUGGAAUUCCAGGUGUAGGAGUGAAAGCCGUAGAUAUCUGGAGGAACAUCAGUGGCGAAGGCGACUAUCUGGCACAUAACUGACGCUGAGGAGCGAAAGCGUGGGUAGCAAACAGGAUUAGAUACCCGGGUAGUC